rnacentral:rRNA from 1 species
AAGGGAGGCAGACACGCGAGUGCGAGCAAAUCCCAAAAACAACGUCCCAGUUCGGAUUGUAGUCUGCAACCCGACUACAUGAAGCUGGAAUCGCUAGUAAUCGCGAAUCAGCAUGUCGCGGUGAAUACGUUCCCGGGUCUUGUACACACCGCCCGUCACACCAUGGGAGUCGGCAACGCCCGAAGCCAGUGACCCAACCUUUCGGGGAGGGAGCUGUCGAAGGCGGGGCCGGUAACUGGGGUGAAGUCGUAACAAGGUAGC